rnacentral:rRNA from 1 species
CAGCCGCCGCGGGAAUACGGAGGGGGCUAGCGUUGUUCGGAAUUACUGGGCGUAAAGCGCACGUAGGCGGCUUGGUAAGUUAGAGGUGAAAGCCCGGAGCCCAACUCCGGAAUUGCCUUUAAGACUGCCGAGCUAGCAGGUGAGAGAGGUAAGUGGAAUUCCGAGUGUAGAGGUGAAAUUCGUAGAUAUUCGGAGGAACACCAGUGGCGAAGGCGGCUUACUGGCUCAUACUGGACGCUGAGGUGCGAAAGCGUGGGGAGCAAACAGGAUUAGAUACCCCUGUAGUCCCUGUCUCUUAUAU